rnacentral:lncRNA from 1 species
GUCAGCCCGAAAGCCCCCGACGUUAAAAACCCAGUCACUGCAAGAGCAAGAACAAUGGCGGCGGGGACAAUAACGGGGCUGAAGAUUAUGAAGAGAGGAGUGGUGACGCAAAGCCCGAUGAUGGUUCCAGUCAGCGUGACACCGGCAAGAGCAAGAAAGGUUCCACCGAGGGGCAGCAUGGCCAAAACUGCAAGAACUUUGCUUGCUGAAGGGCCUCCUCCUGCUGCUCCUCUUUGGCCCAUAAGAGACUUACCGUGCUGUUGUGGGUGCACUUGAAGCUGGUGUGGCUGCGGGCGAUCGCGUUCAGCCAUUGAGAUGCUUAAUUCAAGAGUAAAGAGAGAAAUAUCGAGCAGUAAAUGUGAAUGAGGGGAGAGAUGAGUUGAGGAACCGGAAGCAGUGGUUUUGUUUUAUAGGAAAAGGUGGGAGAGGCAGAAUGCGGACACGUAAGGGUUGCAUGAUGACUAGAGGCUUUGCAUGAGAAACAAGUUGCGAUGAGAUUAUUGGGGAUAUAUAUGUAUAUAAACAAAAGAAACUGAAACCAUAAAAAUUUAAAGGGAAAAAGAAAAUUGAGGUGGCUUUUGAGUGUACAACUGUACUGCCACAUUGCUACUGUUGAUCUGCAAAAUUUUUGUGUUGUGCUUUUCGCCUCAAAACGUGUGGUCAUUUUCUGGACUCAUCUCUUGAAGGAUCAACGAUCCCACUUGGUUCUAACUUAAAAAUGGUUAAUUAUUGUGAAUUUUUUCUGAUAAUAAUCGCUUGUUAUUGUGGAGGAAGAUGCUCACUUUUUCCUUGUUUUUUUUUUUUUUAAUUCUAUUUGAUCUGAUAUUUAAAAAUGAAUAUUUAGAUAUAGUAUAACAUCUUUAACUAUGACCAAAUAGAAUAAAUUUUUAACGAAAGAAAGCAUGAAUGUUCACUUAACAAUAAUAGGAGUACAAUUCUCCAUUUUAGAAGCGAGGAUUUAAUUUUUUUUUAGUGAGAUUAUUUAAAUCUAUUAAAUUUUUCAUUAAACUUAUUUUUUAAAUAAACACACCAUCAAACUUUAAAAUCUAAAUAAAUUUAAAAACAUAGGAAAUCAUGUUUGGUGGAUUAAAAAUUCAAACCAUCUCUUAAAAAAACUAAUAAUCAAAUUUUAAAUAAAAGAAACUAUAUUUAUUGCGAUUAAAAUUCUCCCUUGAUACCUUAUUUGCUCAUUUGUUAAACCAAUAUUCAUAUUACUCUUUAAUAUUUCUCAUUUUUACUACUUACGACCCUAAUAAAGUCAUAAAUAUCAUUAAAACUUUAUUAUAUCAUUCACACACACACACACACACACAUAUAUAUAUAUAUAGUGUAAGAGGACAUCCUCACUUUAUUAACAUGGAAAUAUUACUAAUAAACAAAAAAAAAGAUUUUAAUAUACUAACAGGAAAAAUAUAAUUUCUUAUAUAUUGAAAUAUGUAUUUUUUUUAAUAUUUUAAUGACAUCUUCAAUUUGAUAAAAUGAGGAGCCCUCAUUAGAAAAAUAUUUGUAUAUACGCACGUAUACAUACAGCUAUUAAACUAUACGGUUUAAUAGUAUAAUGAUAUUAUGCUAUUAAAAUAUAUGAUUUAAUAGUUUUCACAAUUAUUAUAUUAUUAAACUACAUGAUUUAAUAGUUUUUCUAAACUUUUAAUAAAUUUAGAAUCUUAGAUUGGACAUGUAUGUAUAUAUAUAUAUAUAUAUGUGUGUGUGUGUGCGGAUACCCGCAUUUUUUUUUAAUGCAAACACACUUUUAAAUUGUCUAUUUCUAGCUGCUCUGGAACAAUUAGGAGAUUCUCUAGAAGAAAUAUGGGGUUUUGCUUUUGGCGGCAACAUGCUAUGGGGUGGUGGUCCCGCGGAUGGGAUUAAAUCGAUACGUUCUAAGACAAAAAAUUUGAAUAUCAAUCUCGUCGAUAUCAUUGAUCUCAUAAGUAUCAUACCAAAUUCCAUCAACCGAAUCACUUUUUUUUAGAAAUACGAGACAUUUAAGUUAUACAAGUAAAGAGAUCUAUUCAUUGAUAAGGAAAAAAAAAAGAAAGAAGGAGAACGGUGAUUGGAUUGAUGAUAAAAUGAAUCCUGGGUUAAAAAUUAAUUCUCUUAAACCCUAUGAUUUUAAAGUUUGUUCUAUGAAAAAAAAAUAAAAAAUAAGAGUGACAACACUAAAGAAGAACUAUAUAUAUAUAUAUAUAUAUAUAUAUAUAUAAUCACAUGCAAGUGGGUAUAUUCAUAAAGAAAUAUAGAAUAAUUUCUUGAAAUUUAAUUUUAAUAAUUAUACUUAGAGAAAUUAAUAGAGACACCAAAGUCAAAUGGUCAAACGAUUUAAUGCAUCACAUAUUUACAUUGGGGACUUUAAAUGGGAAAAAAAUGAAAAAUAAAAAUGAUUGCCGCCAAAAAGAAAAUUGAGUUCCCUGGCCCUGCCCUCUCAAAGCUAAAUAUGGCGACAUGGGUUCAAAUUUUAUGGAAAUUGGAGCCGUGACCGUUAACUUCAAUGGCAAGGAGUCGCCGCCGUUUGUAAUUUCAUCUCGCAAGGUUUAUUUAUCAUUUUUUUUGUAUUUUUUAAAAAUUAAGGCUUAUUUAUUUACUAAUUCCAAAAUCUUUUGAAUUCCAAUUGUAUGAAAGAAGUUUAUGUGGCUGUGAGGAUGCCAAAAGGUUUUAUUUUUUACAAUCUGCAAAUACGUAUAAUCUGAAAUCUACUAGGGGUGUCGAGGAUUACCUCAAAAAUCUGCUCCCACGAAUAUAAGGAAAGAUACCUAUUAUUGUAAAUUUUUUGGAAAAUUAAGGCCCCAUGGGGGCUUAAACGCACGCCCUCAACAUAGUUAGGGACGUGAGUUACCACUAGUCAACACGGCUGAAUGGCUUGCAAGGCUAUAAUUAAGAUUAGUGGAAUUGGGUCUUUUCUAAAAGUGAUACAUAAUUGCAUGCCAUCGUAGAUUCUGUGUGUUGCACCAAUAUUGGGCAUGAAUAGUUUCAAUUUGUUUGCCAAAUUUGCCCUUUUUGUUGUUGUUGUUGUUGUUGUGUGUUCGUGUUUGAAGUAAUUGAGAGAGGAAAGUAAAACUUUUGCCGAAUCAAGUUAUUAUCUUUAACAAAUUUUGUUUCCCAAAAUUUUAUUUUUGCGUUUAUGAUGGUUUUGGUUUUGGUAGGUCAUGCUAUAGAUGCAAGUGAUUAGCAUGUGAAAAGUUUUGACUGGGACAUGAAUUUUAUCUAUCUUAAUAUUAAUUAUUUGUGGAAACCUUUUGCAGGAGAAUAACAACAUUCUAAUAGCUUCAGCCUUCAGGGGAUCCAACUGUAAGUUACAUUCCAGAUAAAGAAAAAUAGGCAGUUUAUUUUAGCAUUUGCAUCAUGAGAUGGGUUUAAUUUUUUUUUUCCCCUAAUUGGCUUAUUUUUCAAUCGCUACUCGGCUACUUGGUUUAUAUGUAAAUAGCAAUCAAAUGUGGAACAAAUUUGCUUAAGUUAAUUUAAAAGUUUGGUUGCAUUGAUCAAAGUUUGUUCUAUAUUUUUAGUAGUAUCUUGUUUAUAUACUCCACUAGAUAAGUUUCUAUUGCAAAAAAUUAGUUUUACCAAUUGAUGGAAUAGGAAGACAUAGCUGCAACUUGCAGUUGACAGAUGGAUGAUGAGUACGAACAAGGACUUAACUCUCAGGAUUCAACAUGAAGAAGAUUAAUUUUAAAUUAAGUAUACCUUUCUUUGGCAAUGUUGCAGACAAAGGUAAGGAAUGUAGCGGGAAGGAAAUGUAUUGGAGUGUUGAUGGCGCACAUGGUAAGCGUAAGAUCAUUGCACCCUGAUACCAAAAAUUCUGGUAGGUCUCUUAAAUAUUAUUUUUUCCAGUGUUAUUGUUCAACUGAUCUUCUUGUUUCUAGAUCAAGAAAUGGUUUCUUUGUUAUAUGGGACUUGAGAUGCAAGACUAUUUCCAAAAGUAAUUCCACAGAAUUCUCCAUUCUAUAAGUUAUUAUUGCAUUCCGGCUUUCAUUAACAGGUUUAUGAUGUUUGUAAAAAAAAUUUCCUUUUAAUAUAAUAAAUGGUUGGAUAUAGCUUCCACUCAGUUGAACCCUAUUAUUGUUCCUUAUCCAGCUCAUUUUCAUCUCAAUCAAAAAGGGUUUGUUUGUUGCCUCAACUUCUUGUUAAUCUUUUUUAUCCUACUCUUGGAUAACAUGUCAGUUCCUUCAGGCUACCCACAUAAGCAUUACUUCUGAUAAGCAGUGAACAGGUAUCAUAUAACGAGUUGCCAAUUUCCCAAAAUUAGUUUUGAAUUCCUAUAGAGUUUAUAAUUACCUUGCUUUUCUCAUAGACAACCUGGUCAUUUCAGUGUUCUAAAAAUCUGGGAUAUGAAAAAUAUUAAGGCUCAAGUUACUUAGGCAUGUCCUUAUACUGAGUCAUUGGCCAAAUAGAGAAGGUUAGUUUCUUCUUGCUCAAUGGAAUGUUGAAUCAUCGCCUAUGCAUAUUCUCAAAUGAGAUAGCUAAAAAUUAAUCUUUAUACUUUAUAGAGGAAUUAAACAUACUGUCCAGUCCAGCGACAUUUUAACAAAGUUUGGUUAUGAGCAUCUGACCUUUGUAAUGGUAUGGAAACCCUAACAUAGAUGAAAAUGUAGAUAUGAAAAUGGUAGGCACAUCUGGAAUUGGAAGUGAACCAACAUUAGAUCAAUCCUCCAAAAAUUUCUGCAGGUUCACGAAGCUAAAGAUUUAAUUAGAACUAUCAGUGUAGCUAUACUACUUAUAAUUUUAUAUGAUUUCAAGAAACAAGAUUACUUGGUACAUCUAGCUUGUCCCAGGAUUUAAAUGGGUGUUGGUUACAGCUUCAUGCUUGGUCAAUAGGUACGUACUGUUGUGAUGAGCAUCUCUCCCUUAAGUCGUAUUAAUUUUCUGCUGUAUUGCCUACUCAAAAUUGUAAUUUUGGUUAUAUGCACAACGUAGUGAAAUGUCUCUUUUUGAUGCACUGGUGGAAGAUGAUUUACCUGCUUACAGUACCCGGCCACAUAUGAAGUUAGAGAACAAAAAAGAAAAAAUAGCUAAAAUGCUAAACACUCUAUUUUGGAUGCUUUCAUGCUUCAGAUUAUACUUGAAUAAUCUACUUCGGUUUGUUAAAGGUCCUGUACAUUGUUCCUCUGGAUGUAGAAUAGAAUCAUUCCAUGUAAAGGUACGCCUUUCCUAUUGAGCAUAAGCCUCUGCUCUAUCCCUAGCUCUCCACCCUCCAGGAAUAAUUACCAAUUUUUCUAUUGUUAAGAUUCAUGCUUUUCCGCUAUCUGAUUUUAUUUUUUCCCUGGCAGUCACCAAUUAGCACCGAAGCGACCAUAUACUUGAUGGAAAUAUCUAUGGCAGGUAAGCCUUCCUCUCGAACAAGGCUUCUUCCUUUUAGUUUUGCCUCGUUCAAUUUGUAACUUAAAAAUGCAAUGUCAAACCAGGUUGAUAAACCUCAAGUGUUUAAUGAAUCAGGCCCCGUUUAGUAUAAGCUACAAUACUGAAGUGUUAAGUAAAUUCCUACUCUUUUGAUUUGUAAGCUAAGUUGAUUUUAUCUCAUAUUUGUAUAAUGAAAAUUUUAUAAAAUCUAUCUUAUUUUUUUAUUAAAUCUUUAAUUUUUUUUUCCAUUAACUAAUUUUAUUUCACAAUUUUAUUUUAUUUUUUAGCAGCACCUCAACUCCAAACAGGAUUGACUCUUCCAAUGCCAUAAAAAUACAAUGUACAUGAAGACCCAAAAUAAAAAAAUUUCCAUCUUCUGAUAUGAAAGAAACCUUUGAGAAACCGCCCGAAGCUGCAUUACAAAGUCCUUUUUCUGUGUUUGAAUCCUUAUGCCUCAGUGAAAUAUCUGGAAUGUCAGUCUGAUUAUUACGCCUCUGGAAUAGAUUUAAUAACCCUGUUAAGAAUAUUAUUGUACAAAAUGCCAAUUUGUUGGGUCUUGUGCUGGAGAAGCAGGUGUGAUUUUUUACCCUCUAAAACCUUCUCUGAUGCACAUUACACAGUUAGGUGAUAAACUUGACACUAUUGCUUUUGAUUUUACUGUGUUCUAUGGGAAAUGUAAAGCAGGAGACAAGAUUAUUCCAAAUGCCAACAUCGAAUCUUAUCGUUUUUUCCUUUUUCUUUUCAGACUGAUUAAGUGAUGUCCAUGCACAUACUUUCUUUGGACACACAUAACGCAACUUCUUGUACGUAACUUGUUAAUUUUACGUCCUAGAAGCGUCCCGGGUUGAAUGAUUUGCGCAUGGGCAUGUAUGUGGUGGCUCAAGCCCAAAUGGGGUUGUGCCUUCUCUGCACUCCUCUAUUAAAGAGGACAAAAAGAAAACGAACUAUUAAAUAAUGAUUAAUUGUUCAUGAGUUUUACGUACAAAUACUUUGCUUUCCAUAUUCCAAAGAAGCAUCAUUCUCGCAAGAAAAAAUGCGUUGAAAAUUUAGAAUCCUAACGUGAUAUGCACAAGUAAUUUAUAUAUCUCUAUUAUCAGUCUAUAAAGAUAGUGUUACUCAAAUGAAAAGCGGCUAUGAAUAAGUUGUAUACUAGAGUACUAAUUGAUGUUUAAUUCGAGGAGGAGAAGAGAUGAGAGGGGAGGUGAUCUUCUUGUCAAACCGAACAUGGUGUAAUUGAAUUUAACCAUUGAAAAAUGAUACUAGUCCUAACAGUUGACUGAGGAGCCACAAAUACGGCACCACGAGGGUGAGGGUGCCAUUUUGACGCCCUAUUUUCUUUAAUUUAAAAUCCAAGGCUGAAGUUGAAUAAUGCCAUUUAUAUUAUUCAUGCCUACGUCUUUUGGUUGAAUGUUAACCUCCUCUUAAUUAUUGAACAAUGAUUCAGUGCGCGCAGUCUCAUAUUAUAAAAUACGCUCAAGUUAAAUUAUUACAUAUAAAAUUAUAUUGUAAAGUGCAUAACUCUAUUAAUAAUAAGGGUCUGGCUACGGUACAACUAUGGUAUCGUACCACAGUUUGCAUCCAACCGUUGAAUCUAUUUGGAUGGAUACGAUCAAUUAAAAUUCAACAGUUGGGUGCAACUGUGGCACAGUACCACAAUUGUACCAUAAUUUUCCCUAAUAAUAAUUUAACACAUUCCAAUCAAUCACACGCCAUAAAAUGUGCAACUCACCGCUCUUUAAUUUAACCAUUAUAUUGAAAAAUUAAGAAAAGAGAUACUCAUCAUCUACGGAGCUCUAGCCUACAGCUUAUAGGGACAAGCCAUGAGAUGCGAUGCUUGUAGGUUUAUUCUCACCACAAUGUUGAUGCUCCUGAGAAGAUUAUUGAAAAACUCUAUUCAAAAAACAUGUGGUUAGGGCCCACUUGAAGGGUCUUGGAGAAAUGUCCCAAUCAAUCAAUCAAUCAAUCAGUCAAAAUAUUAGAUUGCAUGGGCAUGGCAACUUUUUGGAAUAGAGCUGUCUUUGGUUUUGGACCUCUUGAGUCACUUUGAUAAUUCUUCAUUUGGGCGGUUGGGGAUGGCCCAUUAACUUGGAAAAUGAGAUUGUGACCGAUUCUUGAAUCGUUGAUUCGGGUCCCAGAUUAUGACCCUUUUUGCUGUUUUGUGAGCAUGCUUGGUUUUCUAUUUUGCUUUGCAUGUUAGGAAAGAGACAUUUGUAUUUCUUUGAUGCAUUUCAUCGAAAACCUUCAAAUCAAAUCAUAUAUUUCUCACUUAUCUCUCAUGAUAUCGAUGAAUGAAUAAAGCAAUUUAUAUAUAUGGAGGGAGAUUAUCAAUUUUCCAUAGACUGUAAUUAAUAUAUAUUAUUUAUUCUUACUAUUUUUAUAAUAGUUCAUAACUCCCUGAAAAUAUAAGUUUAUAAUAUUAUCCUCAUUUUCAAAUACACUUUUAUUCAUAUUUAUUAUAAAUUAGUUAAAUUAUAUGAAUGGAAAUAAAAUAAAAAAAUUAAGUAUUCAAAAUAAGAAAUAUAUUUUUUGAUGUAAAAAAUUAAUAAUAGAAUAUUUUUCUUGAACUUUUUUAUUUUAUAAAUAUUUUCUUAUAAUAAAUAUAUAAUAAAAUUAUUAUAAAAUGAUAAAAAAUUUAUUAUAAUAAAACUUGAAUAAUAAAUAAAAAUUAUUAUAAAAUAAAUAAUAAAAAAUUUCUUGUAUUUUUUAUAUUUAAUUUUAAAAUAUUAUAAUAUAUUUAUUAGAAGAAAAUGUUUAAAAAAAAGUGCAAAAAAAAUUAUUAUUAAUUUUUUUGUUCACAUCAAAGCAUAUAUUUCUUGUUUUUAAUACUUAUUUUUUUAUUCAGUUUCUAUUCAUAUGAUUUAUUUAAUGUAUAAUAAAUAUAAAUAAAAGUGCAUUCGAAAAUAUAUGUAAUAUUAUAAACUAAUGCUGUUAGGGAGAUUAUUGGCCAUUAUAAAAAUAGCAAUGGAGUAAAUGGUAUAUAUUAAUUACAAUAGAGGAGAAAUUGGCAAUCUCCCUGUAUGUGUGUUUGUGCAGUUCAAGAUCUUAGGCUUUUUUUAAAAUUUGAGAUGAAUUGACAAUAGUAUAACAUAUUUUUAUAACAUUAUUAGACAACAUUGUAAAAAUAUGUUCACACCAUUGUCAAUUCGUCCCAAAUUUUAAUCCUACAUUAUAGAAAGAGAGAGAGAGAGAGAGAGAGAGAGAGAGAGAGAGAAUCAUCCUUACGUGCAAGUGCCUUCAUUUUUUUAAUGCGGAAUUAAACGUUUGGCUUAAUAGAAUUAUUUUUUUAAUGCAAUAUAAAGCCGUACAAUUUUAUAGCAUUAAAAACUGACUCUAUUAAACCAUACAACUUAAAAGCGUGUCCGCAUGGGAGGGGAAAAAAAAGAGUGCCCAUACUAGAGAAGGAUUGUAUAUAUACAUAUCAUACCCGCUAUAUAAGAUUGGUAUUUUGAAACACCAAAUCCAUUGAUAUUUGCACCUUUGUAAAUUUGAUGCCCAUUAAGGACAAUCUUUAUUAACAUUUUAUGAUGUUGUUAAUAGAUAUGGUUUCUACAUGUGUGGUCAGUAUAAUGGAUUAUAAUUCUCUUAUAACAUGAUUCAUCUGAGUAAAUGCUAUAUAAUUGGUCCAUGAGAAUAUAAUAAAUAUUGAUUACAUAUAAAUAAAUUCUUAAAAUAAUCCAAAUGUGCUUAGAUCAUAAAAGGAUCUUUAUUCGAGUAUAAUAGUCGGUACAAAGUAAUGCAUAUAAUUAGUUACAUCAGGUCACAGUGUGAGUUCAUUUAAUUUUAAAGAAAAAAGAAAAAGAAAACCCAGGUAUCUAUUUGUGAAAUAUUGCUAAUUUUUAUUCUACAUUAAUUGAGCAAGUUCGGCCAGCUAAGGCUUUGAUUUCUUUAUAAACUAUAUUAGAAAGAGGAAGAUUCCAUGGGACAUAAUCAAUCAUAUUAUACAUUUUAUAUUGCCAAAUUCUUUUGUCAAAAGUACCUGAAGUUCAAGUGAGAAAAAAAGGAAAGUGGACUGGCCUGCAGUGAUUACUUCCUAAUUCAAACCAUGAAGAUGAUCAUGGAGUUAGAACAAGAGCUAAAGCUACCUAAACAUUUAACCGUGAUUUAGCUCAUUUCAUAUAGAUGACUCAUUUCAUUUUAUUUUUUGUACGCUAAAAGAGUAUCAUUGUAUCUACUUCACUGUAUGUGAUGCAGUAGUGGGGUUCUUAAUUACUGCAAUGUCUGAGGUGCAAGGGAUGAUAAACAGUGAAGAAUAUAUGUAAUAAAAAGGAGACAAAGGUGAAAAUCCAACUAAGAUUCGCAUGCUAUUUUUUUUCUCUACUCCCUCACAUGGGAAAACAAUUCUUUGUGAUCCUAUGAGAGUAUUGACAUCUCUACUGCUACUUACUGUUUACAGACAAUAUUAAUGUCAAUGCUAUAAUGAAAAGGUCAAAAAUUCACAAGAAAUAUUACUAUUUUGUAGUGGUUAGCAAAGACUUCAACUCAAUGGUUGGGGAAGUCAACAAAUUUUCUUGUACUACUGUUACUCUUAUCUGUUGUAGAAAAGAGAUGUAGUGUUGGAUUGAAGAAAGUUGAUUUUGAAGCUUGAAAAACGAAAAUUGAUGGAUGGACAGAAAGGAAAUUGAUUUAAGGUCUAAUUUUUUCUCCAUUUUUCCUUUGUUCACACUUAGCUGGCUAGGUCCCAUUUUUAAUUUAUAUAUGGAAAGGGGAAUUUAUCUGUUGGAUGAGAUAUGUGUGAGUGAUCUUUUCCCCUUUGUUAUGAAUAUGAUGGUGAUGUGGGCAUAUUAGAACAGAUGAGUGAUGUGUGCGUGUGUUUCCCCUCCUUUUUAUGAUAGUGAAAUGUCGAUAAACAUAAAAACACACUCCCAUAGUUAGUUUUAUUUCGGUGCACUCGUGAACUGAGUCACCCUUUUAGUAAAUGAUAUUGUCACACUGUUAAUUUAGCAUUUUAUUAACUCGAUCCAAAAAUUAGACGCUACAUGAUUGUAUCAAUUGUACUUAGAAACUAUUAAGGUGUCUCUCUUAUAUACCACCAUAAAUCUACGAAAAUAUAUUCAAUGAAUAGUGUGGCGCUUGUAUGCUCUUUUUGUAUGAAUAAAUAGGUAAUAGAUAGUCUCUCAAAUCAAGUAUUCCCUUUAAAUAUCCUUCGAAUGCAGUGAUGAAACCUUAUAAGAGAAUUUUAGUUAUUUUGGACAUAUUUAGCUUACAAUAUAUAUAUAUCUUUAGACGAUUCUUUACUUCAAACAUACGGAAUUAACAUAGAAAAUCUUUAGCUUUGGAACUUGACCUGCUUUAUGUAUAAAUUCAAAUUGUAUUUUGGAACUUCAAGUUACAUGCUAGCUUUUUGAAACCUGAUUUUUAAAAGGUUACUUGAAACCCCUUCACUUUUUCAAGUAUCACACAGAACCAUCAAGCAUACGAUUUACUUUCAGCCUCACACUAAAUUAAGGAGAAAUGGUACAUAUAAUUAGAAGUGAGCUCCCAAUGCUAGUGCCAAAAAUUAAUAACGACGCAAUGAUCACUGGAUAUCAAUGAUUGCUGCUGUUACAAGUCCAUUUAUAUACAUUUUAGAAUUUUUAGAUUUUAUAUGUAGUUGGUGGCUUAUUUUUGUUGAACCAUAUAAUAUAAUAUGGAGCAUAAACUAUUUUAGGUUGGUGACGGAGUUGCAUAUAAAAUAAACCUAACUAAUAAUUAAUUAGGUAUCUCGAUAGAUUCUAAACCAAUUAAUUAAAAUCGAUUAUAUUAACUUGUAUCUUAAUUAAGUAUUCAGGUUAGGAUAUAUACUAAUACCAUGUAUGUACUUUUUUUCUUUCGUUAAAUAUAUAACACAAUUAAUAAUGAAUAAAUAUUCUCCCCCCCUCAUGUGAGCUGAGGUCUUGUAUUUCAGCCUAAGAGGUUAAACAAUCUAGUACCAACAUAUAGUGACACAUAAUAGAGGCACAUGGUAAGUGUUAAAAAAAGGAGGCAUACGUCAAGGGAACUGGAGAGUAUGUAAAGUAGCAAACUUCUGUAAGUAAUAAGAAGAUGGGUUCAGAAACAGAGAUAUAUAUGUACAUGUAGAUUAUCUCAUAGUUCUUAGACAGAAUUCUCAUUAAAUGUGCAAGAGGCUGCAAAAAUUAAUGAUCCUUUUAGCUCAACUGCAGACUUUUACAUGGUUGUUUGAAGUGGACUCAACAGCAUUUUCUGACAAACUAGCUAGCCACUCCAUAGGAUGUACUCUAAGCAAAUUAAGUCAAGGAAACAAAAUUAGGUCUCAAGUUGAGCAUCAAUUAAGUUUCAAGAAAUGUACUCUCAUAAUUAAGAAGACAUUCUUUCAUAAAAUUAGAAUAUGGACAUAAUAUAAUACAAUGACAAGUAAAACACAGUCCAUUAUGAAUCUCGAAGAGAAACCCUAAAAGGGUUUUUUUGUCAUAUUUUAUAAAAUACAAUGACAAAUCAAUUAAGGUCUUACAUGCUGCUGCUUUCUCCUCCCUCAUGGCUACCAUCAUUAUUAUUAUUCCAUUGAGAUGGGAAAUAAAACCCUGAAUUUUGUUCAUUAGUGUCACUUCUUGCUCCAAACUGAGGUGGCAUUUCAUUGCAAGCAUAACGGAUCAAAUCAGCAUUUGUGGCAUCUAACUCUCUUUGCAGCCUCAUGACUUGUCUUUGAAGGACAGAAAUGGCUCCAACACAGCCAUACACUGGAUCUUUAAGCCGUGCCUCGGCUUCAUAAGCUAGAGAGUUCACUGCAUCUUCCCUCUGAUGAGGCAGAACUUCGUUUAAGAGUUUGCUUACAUUGCUUGCACCAAAUAUUUUGUGAACAUUCACAAACUUUUGAGGCUCUUCAGGUGGAAAAUAUGGAGCAAAAACACAAUCAGGCAUGCAUUUUCUCCUUAAGCACUUGCAGGCGGCACAUGGAGCAUUUGAGUAGCUUGAAGAAGCCAUCAACCUUUGGUUCUCUGCAGCAAGUAAUAAAGAAAACAAUGUGUCUAUAGCUUAAUUUAUAAUAAUUACUCCUUUUAUAUAAUUAAUUAAUUAAUUAAUUUUUUGGUUAAUAUUUUCAAAUACAAUGAAAUUGGAAAUUUCUUAAAAACACUAGCUGCCAUAUUUUUUUUUCUUUUCAACCUACUUUUACUUUUUUGGCCUGCAAACUAAAGCUGUAUUUGUUGAAUUUUCAAACCGUACUUGAUCUUGAAUUUUCAGACAAAACCCUACAUAUAGUCAAAACAAACGGUGUAAAAUAUAUAAUAAAAAUUUAAGGGAAAUUAUAAAUAAUUCUCUAACGGUACUCCUAUAUUUAUGUAUGUACAUCGAUUUCCUGUGCUUGGAUUCUCUUGAAUUUAAAGCUCAAGUUGCCAUCAAACAUGUCGCUACAGGAUUAACAGAUACAGAUCUUUCGUUUUGAAGUUUGAACAUUUGGACUUAUAAGACUUAUAUCAGGCACAAUCUUAUAGAAAAAACUUGAAAAAAUGAAAAGAAAAGGCUUUGAGGCAGUUGGUACUGUGACUCAUCUUUUUGACAACUAGCUAUAGCUAGAUUUUUCUCUGAACCAAAAAGGAAAAGGAAAAUAUACCUUCUAUUCCCUUUCGUAUAGGGCUCUAUAUCGAGCUGAUAGAUCUGUUAAUCCUUGAUUGUUCCAAGGAAAAAAGAGUUUUACGCAGCAGCAGCCUUAUUUAAAUGAUGAAAUAUUAGGAUUUUUGUUAUUAUAUAUAGGAUAUAUGUGAGAGUCCAAUUGGGGUAAACCCUAGCUAGAUGCAGCAGGGCACCUGCAAAAUACAGUGACAAAAUAUAAGUGGAGAUGAGUGAAGGAAAAAAAGGAGGCAAAGAGCAUUUAAUGAGAAGAAAUGAAAAGCAAAAGACAAGUGUAAUUAAUGGGGCUACAAGAAAGUAAGAUGGCGACUCAUGACUGUGACGCCCUACUUAUAAUAAUGAUAAUGAUGUUAAAAAAUUUUAGUUAACUCGAAUUCAUCCUCUUCGUCCAAAUUACAUGAGUAUAAAAUUACAUAUUUUCUUAAAAGGUUACAGUACAUAUAGUUUAAAUUCAUUUUUAACUUUUUAAAAUUCAAAUUCAGGAAAUAUUUAUAAAAAAAAAGCUACUUAAAAAUUACUUCAUGAAAUCGAAUCUCUUGAGACUAAGUUUAAAGUUGAAAACUACUCAAAGUCUAUUGAUGAGGCUAAGUGUACAAAUACGUGCUUUGCAUAACCAUAUUUUUUUUCCUUUACGUCAACCCUUUUGUCUUUGAGCUUAAAAAGAAAACAGGAAGGAAAAAAAAAAAAAAAAACUCUUGCCUUUUGAUACGACAGCAUCGAGUAGCGAAAUCCGAAGGAGAUAUUAGGCUGCACCAUAUACACACACAUGUUUAAAUGUGUGUGUGUCUUCUCACGUUCAGAUCUUUAAAUGUAAAUUUCAUACGUACAGAUUUGUUACUAUAUUUUUAUUAAAUAAAAAGAUAUGAUAUCAUAUGAGGUAAUAAUGAAUCUGCAUCAAAUCCGCUUAUAGUCAUCUAAACCUAAGAAGCUAAGAGAUAUUUAAAAAAAAAAAAAAGAUUGAUCAAAAUGAAAUAAUUUCCUUGCACAUAACUGAUGAAGAGUGAGAAAUUGAAAAAAUCCUAUUUAAAUUGAAAUUUAUAAUAUUUUAAAAAAUUUAAUUAAUUUUAAUUUGGUUAUCUAUUUAUAAUUUUAUUAUUUACAUGUUGCUUAUUUGAGUAGUAUUCUUAAUUUAAAUAUGAGUCGUAUUAAAGUGAGUUUUCUAUCAAAAUUAAAAUAAGUUAUAGUUAAUAUAAAUAAAUGUCUUUUGUAACCUUUACGAAUAGGCCUUAGUUAUUUAUUAUUGAUUAUUUUUUAGAAUAAACUUUUGGUUUGAGUUCUAUUCUUAUUAUUUCUUCGUACUAUGUGGAAUUAACAAAUUUUAACACCCUAGAUUCGCAAGUAUUCUUAGAAUCAAUAUCGAUUUAGUUUAUUUCUUUUAUUCUAGCAUACUCAAGAAUCAACGAAGUAGUGAAAAAUAUUUGUAUCUAUCCAUCACCCUAUAUCUUUUAUCCUUCCACUCAUCAGUUUCAUUACACAACGUUCUUUUGUAAAACCAUACUAUAUCAAAAACUGAGGAAAAUUCAAGUUCUUUUUAUUUUUAUAUUUUCCUUUUGUGUUAAAACAAACUAGGUGCAGGCAUGGCAAAAAGGUCUUGCUCGAUCUACAUGUAUCUUUUCCAUGCCAUUGUGUAUAAAUAAAAUUGUAAGGUAUUUUCAAGAACUCGAUCAAGUGGUUUUAAGUAGUCUCUUUUUUGUCCUUUUUAUUUUUUUAGCUACCCAAAUUUGGGUCUUGGGAAGGUAAGAGUUUAAAGAAUAAAUUUAGGUUCGCCCAAAAGAAAAAAAAGCAAUUGUAAUGUUUGAAUAAAUGAUGCAGUGAAAUUAAUACAAUGUUUCUAGAUAUUACACAUGCAUAUAUGCGUAACAACAAUUAUAUUGGCGAAAAUUAAGGUCCAUAAUACAAUUGUAUUUCUUUCAAAUCCCAAUUUUUUUUUUCUAAAUUCUUAAUUAACUACUAAGUUUUUUUGUUACACUUGCAUAACCUGGAACUUCCGUGCAAGUUCAUAAUUUAUCAUAAAUUUAGGGUAAAAAAAUAUUUGGGGGGGGGGGGGGGGGAUAACCAAGGACUUUUGAGUUUUCAAUAGAGAAUGUUGGGCUUGGAUCUAUCACUAGUGGCAUAAAUGUGCAUUAUUAGUUAAUAAAUAAAAAAGAAAAAGAAAGAAACUUUAUGAUUUAUUUAAUAAAUUAACUGUCUUGUUACUUAUUAUUUAUUACAGAAUGACCUUUUAUUUUUUAAGAAAAUAACCUUAAAAGUAUCUUGUAUUAAUUAUAAUUUGGCCGCAAGCAGUUGUUUUCUCGAUAAAAUGAUUAUUUUCACAGCACUGGCGAAGGUGAAAGCCUGGAGACGUCAUGAGCUUUGAGUUUUCCUAGCUAAGCACAGUACUCAUUUUGGACGAAGAAAUCACGAAACAAAAAUCGUGAGGAUGAAAGACGCGUUCAUGAAGCCGGAAGCGUGCAGACAAUGUACAUUUGGUUCUUGGGGCCGGGGCUGUUGGAGUUGCACUGUAUGAUCAUUCUCUUCUGAAAAAUGGUAAAAGACUUUCUCGUGGUGUAUACGAACCCUUGGACUGAUACGUGUAAAGGACACACACUCACACACACACACAGUGAGCAUAUGGGCAUGCAUGUUCCUGUUUCUCUCUCCGUGAUUAAGGUAUAUUAUUGAUUUCAACUAUAUAUCAACACGAAUGUAUCUGAAACCAUUACUAUUAUCAUCCAUUAUUGAAGCAUUUAUGACGAAAUAUGCACAGUAGCCGAAAUGGGUUAAUAAUUUCAAUUGUAGUUGCGGACAAAGUAAGCUAAAACAUAUAUAUGAAAUGAAGGGACAGGCAUAUAUAACGUGUGGCUGGGUUUCUCUUUUUUUUCACUUAUGGGUAAGCUGUUUCUUAUCUUGUACUGCUUGUCCCAAGCUGACAAAUUUAGUGACAACUUUCAUUUCAUGCACUCAAUAAUUGACAGAUUACUUUGAAGAUCUGAAAGUGAAAUUUGAUUCCAAGAUGCUGAUGUGAUAACAAUCUCAUGGUAGCAGAAACUUUGAUGAUGGUAAGAAUUUUCAACAAUGAGAUGCCAACAAAUUAAGUCUGUUCAUUUUUACGUUUCAAGUGUGUCAGGAAACUGGCUUCAGUGUAAGCUCGUGUGUGCCUGAGGAUAUUUGAAUAUAUAUUUACGAUAAGAGCAAAAUUCGUUUACUGCAAUGUGAAACCACGUAAGUUAUGUUUGGGACCAAAAUAUGUAUAUGCUUACGUGACUUACGAGAAGAUAUAGAAUUUUUACAAAAUGUGUAUUGAUUAAGGCUUAUUUGCUAUUAUAGUUGGAUGGUUGUAGCUUAAAAAAUAAUAAUUUGGUAUUAUAGUUGGAUGGCUGUAACUUAAAAAAUUAUAAUAUUGUAAUGUUUGGUAAGCAUUAGUUUAUAGUUUUGUAAAUAUAAAUCGAUUUUAUAUCACACUUGUGCGAUGAAAAACAUAUACUAUAUAUCUUCACCAUUUUUGUAAAAAUUAUUAUUUGAAAGUCAUUUUUAUCACAUACUAUCAAUUUUUAUUUUAUAAUUAUAGUUUUUUUUCGAUAACACUUCAAUGCCAAAUAGGGUUUUAGAUUCAUGAUUACUAGAUUUUGCUGCUAGCAAUAGAAAUAAUCCUUUUAAAAAUUAUUGAGAUUUUUAAAUAAUCCUUUUCGGAUUAUUUUUAUGUACAAAUAAUCCUUUUCGGAGGGAUAUUCCAAUAAUAAUAAUAAUUGAGAUUUUCUUUCUUUUAAAAAUUAUAAUUAAUUUGGCAUUAAAUAAAAAAAAUGCUUGACAAGGAAAAUAAAUCACGUUAGCUGAGAAUAUUUACUGAGUUAUAUAUCUAAGAUUGAAUAAAUCUUCAAUUUAUGAACUAAUUAAUUGACUUUUAACUAUGAGUUAGCUCCAUGCAUUUCUAAGUAUCAUGACCAUAUUCAUAUAUAAGUGCCCUACUGCCCUGUGCUACCUUAACGCUUGAUAACAUCCAUGAAAAAGUUAACCUAACUUUUUUAUGUAUGAGUUAACCUAACUUCUAUAACCUUCUAUAGCCUUCUAUAAAUGAUUCAAUGAAUUACACCUAUUAUACAUACAUACAUAAUGAAUAGGAAUAUACUUUUGAUGUUGAGUGUUGACUCUUAAACUACAUUUGGGUUACUGGUUAUAAAUUAUUUGCUAGAUUAGGUGACUAGAACUAGUUAAUUAAAUAGCUUAUUUCUAGAGUUUGCUCCACCUUCAACUCUUAUCACUCGCAACCACCACCAAAAGAUACAUAGCAAAUAUCAAAACUAUAAUUUAUAGACUAUUUUAGUUGACAUAAUUGAAGUCAUGUGUCGGCGUACACAAUAAUAUUGAAUAGUUGAAGUGAUGUUAAGUUGCUUUACAUGAUCUUCAUAAUCUGUAUGGUACAUGAAUCUACUUUUUCGUAAUAUGAUACAUAAAAAUUUUAUGGACCCGUGCAUGCCUAUAAACAUGCCAUGACUUUCAUUAUCUUAAUUUCAUGACAAUCUAUAUCCAAAGGAUUACCAAAUUAAAUAUAACUAGCUAAGUAUAGAUAAAUAUUUUUUUAUUACUUCUAAUCAUUUGAUACCAUGCCAUGGUAUCCCAAUAUCAUCAUCAAGAAAGAAAUUGGGAGAGUAAUGAGGAUUUCUCAUACCCCACAAACUAUAUCAAUCAUAAUUUGAUCAAAAUCUACCUAAAUUAAAUGUAUGAUGGGAUUGAUAAUACUUUGAUCAAAUCUAUAUAUAUGGAAAUAUCUAUCUUGUUUAACAAAUAUAUCAAUGAUGGCAUGAUUAUAUUUUGAUUAUAAUCUAUAGAAAAGUGCGUAUUGUAUAUAAAAUACAUGUAGGCAGACUUAGAAUUAAACAAUAUUAAAAUAUAUUGUGCAUCCGAAGGGGUCAGAUCGAGAUGGGGUCAUGGAGAAAAGUUGAAGAGAUAAGAGGAAUAAGUUGAAGUCAAUGAAGCAUGGCUCUAAUGAUUGGAGAUCACCUAUAAUUCAAUGGUUUGUUAAAGAUGAAGAUCAUAUAUUUAUUUGGUGAUCAAUUGAAUGGAAUUAUGCUUAUUUUUAAUCAAAAUACCACCCUUCCAUUUCGCGUGUAUAUUCAGUAGCCUUUAUGCCCUAACGGAGAAAACAAUAAAUUAAUAUAUACAAAGGAUAUGUGUAUUGUUGUGAGCAGUUUGAUUGAGGCACUUCAUUUGAUCACUCUUUAGCAUAGACUUGUUCUCAUAGACUUGUUCACAAGCUUUGAGCAAAGCUUUGAUUAAUCAAGUUAGUGAACAUAAAAUACUAACAAAAAUCAACUUCAAUUAUUUAGUUUAUAGCAUAGUUAGACCAGUUCACAUAGUCAAAAAAAAAAAGGAAAAAAUUGCCUAUGCAGGGUAAUUAAGAGGGGUCAAACGGUGAGGUGAAUAUCAUUUUACUAUAAUAAAACCUCAUUGUAUAUAUAUCACUUGAAACAUUUAAGCUAAUCACAAUCAAAAUUACGAAACUCCCAAAUCCUAGAAAUCCUAAAAAAUCACCACGAUCAAAACAACAAUUUUUUUUUUUAAAUAACAAAUCAAAAAAAUAAAAAUUUACCCUUAUACAUAAUUCCUUUGGUGGCUCACUAUAUCAGCAGUCAAAUAUAAACUGUGUCAAGAAUGAAAUAUCAUUAGGAAGCCAUAAAUCCAACGGUUGGAAAGUGGCGUAGAAAACAGAGAGGUCUCCCCUUUAUGCCUCAGCAGAAGAAACAAUAAAAUAUACAAAAGAUAAAUGUAUUGUCGUGGAGGGUAUUAUUAAAAAUUGAAAAAGAUUAUUAUUGAUGGAACUCUCAUGUAACAUAUGGUGAUAUCGGUUGCAAAUAUCCCAAUGUGCUAUUUUCCGUCCAUGCUCGUCAUCAUUCAUCAACAUGCUUGCUUUCCAUACCUUGGCUUGUCGUUUGCUAUAAUGGAUUGAAUGUACAUUUGACUUACAUGUAUAUAAUGGACUUAUUUGUGAUGUUAUCCAUACUGAUGAAAUGAAAGUUAUUUCGCAAUAAAAAAAAUAAUAAUAAGGCUGCUUUGCGUGUUUAUGUUUUGACUAUGCAUUGUGCUGCGCAUAGAGUACUCUUCAAAGCAUUUGAUUAGCUAGUAAAUCAGUAACCAUUAAUCUUUCUUUUAUUUCCUUUUCAUCCUCUUAUUUAGGAAAUGCAGAAAUGGUUUAACCCCAUUUAGGGUUUAAACCACCGUAAAUCCGCCAAUCUUUAUAGGCAUCACUCCUGCCAACCAAAACUUUGCAUCACCUCUCAACACUUUUGAAGAUAUUAUAAUAGCAUCACAUCAAAAAAUUAUGUGCGCCCACAUCACUUAGUCUACAAAAAAUUGAUAACAUUUGGUGUUGGGUUGUAUCCUGCUUUACAUUUCUAUCUGCAGAAUCAAAAGCAAUAGUAUGUUGCGGUACUGUCGAGUUUAUUAUCUAACUGUAAUUUCGUAAAGGAGGCAAAGGGUAAAAAGCUUACUCUUAAUAGUCGGAAGGGGACUGAGAGACCUUCCAGAGCACAAGGCCUAACAAAUGAUAUUUUGUACAACAAUAUUCUUCAUAUAGUGUAAUUAAACCAUUCUCCAGGGGAUCAUAUUUUACGGAGUAACUAGAAAGUAAUCACGGAUGGUUCUUCGUUUCACUGAGGAAGGAGGGUUCAACACAGAAGAGGGACUAUUCAGGGAAGCUUCAGGAGUUUUUUCAAAUGCUUCUUUUGUAUCAAAAGAUGGAAUUUUUUUCUUCUGGGCCUCGGGAGUUCUAAUGAUAGGCAUAUUUUUAGGAUCGGAAGAGUUAAUUUGGUUUAGCACAUCGUCUGAAUUAUAUGAACUAUCAGAACCCUUUGCUAACCAUCCUGGUUCUCCGUUCAUAAAAAGUUUUCUGCAUUCUGUACUUGGAAUUGCCAUUACUCUCCUUCGGACGGAAGACGGAGAUCUCAUGCUCGAGCAACGACUGUUUUCAAGGCUCCAUAAUCGAACCUAAUAAAUAAAAAUUUGCAGAAAUUGAGAUGUAUUAUAAAUACACACGAGUUAAAAAUGUAUUUGGGCUGCAUUUAUUGGAUUUGUAAGCUGUUGAUCUUACUGUGUAAUCAUCUGAAGAAGUUACAAUCUUCCCAGCCUCAUUUGGACACCUACAGAACGAAAAGAAAGAUGAUCAACAUAUCUGUAAAAAAGAACAUGGAUAGUGAAUAAUGUCACUCAAUAAACAGAUGAAAUAAAAUACCAAUCUACUGCUGUAACUUCCCCAUCAUGGCUUUUCAACUUGAUAGGAUCUGCUUGAGGUUUAUUCACCUGGUUUGACAUUGCAUAUUCAAAUUACAAAUUGAAGAAGGCAAAACUUAAAAGAUGGCAAAAAAAAAAAAAGAACUCAUAUUUUCAGUAGAAACUCUACCUGCCAUACAUAAGCAUUUCCAUCACUAGAGCCACUGAGUAUAUGACUUCCAUUAGGACAAAUUUCCGACUUCAAUGGCAAAAGUAUAGUCAGAUAAUGGUAAAAAAUGAAUCUUAUACAAUAGAGCAAUCAGGAUUAGUCCUAGCCGAGACAUACCUUUACAUAGAAUGAUUCUAUUCGACAUCCAGAAAAAUGUUGUAUUGGGCCUUUAUCAAGCUGAAGUACAUUGUACAAGUAUAUUCUGAAAGCAUGAAAACAACAUAUGAGUUUAAAUUUUCAACAUUUCAGUACUUUUUUCUUCUACUGAAAUUUCAGUGAAUGCAAAUUGUUUAUACAAGGCAGGAUUGUGAAACAGGCACCACAUACCAUGCACUACAAAGUAGCAUUUCAGUGGGUUGUGCAUUAAAACUAAAUUACAAUAUUGAGUAUGUUUUACUAAAUAUAAAAAUUAAUAAAGCUUUAAGGGAAAAAAAUACUCAUCACAACAGCAACAUACCUAUGGUCCAUGCAUGAAGCUGUAAGAAACACCCCAUUUGAAUCCUGAGACAGGCUAGAAAUACCAUGUAAUCUUGUUUCCUGAAAUCGGACAAAGUCGAAUGAUAACUAGAAUUGCUUUACUAAUAAAUGUAAUUAAAUCUUUAAAUUCAUGAUCCUCUAGUUCCAGAAUAAGCCUGCUAUUUACAUCCACAUCUGCUAUUUUAGUGUUCCCAUAACUAAUUAGAAGGAUCGAACACUCGUUUAAAGUUGGGGUAAACAUGCUGGAUCAGACAGCAAUGCUCAAUUGCUCCAUAAAGAUUAAGUUUUAGUCAUCUAAUUUGAGAAUAUGCAACUUUAUUCCGAACAAUAACAAGUAAUGUUUCAGCAUUCUAUUAUGCAAGGGCCGACUAACCUUUGCGGAUGAUGACUCUGCAUGAGGGCAAGCCUGAGUAAUUUGAGCCUUAAGAUUCCUGGUAUCCCAGAAUUUUACAAUGCUGAAAUGAAAACAAUGUAAAGAGAAAAGCAAUUUUAACAUGAACUCUUCAGGAAUUCAAAACCAAUUUUGGGGAGAGUUGCAACAUCUUAUAGAUACCUGUUCACUGCACUAGCGGUAGCAAUGGACACUUCAUCUUUCAGAUAAAGAACUGAUGUAAUGCUCAUGGAAGCAGCCUGAAAGAACUGAUUUAUUAGCAAAGAGUAGAAUAAAUUAGAUUAAGAAUUAUUUGAGCAGAAAACAAACCUUCCUGCGACUAACUCUUUUUGAUUGAGACAAAAGAUGAGCUCCUUUGACUACAGCAGAUGAGCUGGACAUGGAAACAAUAAGAUUGUUCAACUGAGUGCAAGUUAUUACCAACCAUUUAAUUCAUGUAUAAAAUGGUUUGUUUAGAUCAUAAACAUCAUAUGCUUGUUUAGGAAAGCAGAGAUGCAACAACUUACAAUACAAAAGAUUCUGCACAAUUACUUUUGGGACUGGACUUGCAUCUCAAGUCCCAUAUAGCAAAGGACCCAUCUCUUGAACCAGAAACAAGAAUAUCUGUUGAACAAUUACAUUUAUAAUUAAAGAAAUGGAAAGAACGUUUGUUAGAUACCAGAUGGUAAAAAGAAUGAAAAUAUCUACCAGAAUUUGUUGGAUGAGAACACAAUGAUUUUAUACUCCCUGUGUGCCCCAUCAAUGCUCCAGUACAUUUCUUUUUCUCUGCAUCCCAUAUCUUUAUCUGCAAAAUGAACAAAUGGACAAAGGAAAGUGUAAGCAAUGUACAGUCAACCUUCAUCAUGUUGAACUAAAGGAUUAAGUCUUGUUCAUACUCAUUGUUUCAGUUGCCAAUUGAGAAAGCAGUUGCAUCUUACAAUUUAAUCAAUUGGUAUUAACUCUAGCAACUUAUUAAGUUUUAUAGACCAAACUUAGAUCAAUGGAACCAGACCUGUAACUGAAUUUAAGCUAGUUUGUUUAGCAAAGUUCAUCCCCUUACUUACAGUUUGAUCCCCUGAAGCUGUUAAAAUGUUGGUAUCCUCCUGCGAAAAGUUUGGCAAAUUUCACGUCUCAGUCAAAACCUUGCACAUGUUAGAUUGAUGCUAGGCAAUAACAAAAAAUUCAAUAUAAUUUCAUAGAACCAACGUAGUUACCUUGAUCCAGCACAAAUCAAAAAUAGCAUUUUGAUGUGCAACCCAGUCACUUAUUCUGGCUUUCUCUGCGAAAAAUUCUCUAAAUUUCAGCAUAAUUGAAACUAAAAAGAAUAUCCAUCCACAAAGAAAAACUCCGAAGCAGGCAUUUCAUAAACAAGAACUAAGACCUGCAUUCUCCCGGUGACAUGCAAAAGAAGGAAGCUUUCUACGUGAAUCAAACAAGCUCACAUAACCAUCCUCGUCCGACACGGCAAAUAUAUGGGAGUUUUUACUUGUCUGCAAAAUUAGGGUUUUUUCUCCUCUUAUUAAAUCAGUGCAUUUGUUUGCAGGCAUCGAUUCUUAAUCUUAAGUAAAAAAACACAAAAAAUAAAAUACAAAUUAUGAUAACAACAACAAUGACAAUAAACAAAAACCUUGCAAAAUGAAACGGCCAAUGGCGGCGUCUCCUCGCCAUGGUGUUCGACGGCCACGGCUCCGAUUUCCGUGAAAUCCGUUACCACGUCACCAAAAUACGGUCUUUUCCGAGCUGAAAAAAAAUAUUAAAUAAUAAAUUCAAAGAAAGGUGUAAUCAAUCACACAUUAAAUUAAUUUAUUCAAUCCAGAGAUGGGGAAACCUUUGAAACCGUUGAGCUCUCUUGAUCUGACAUUUAGGAAGAAAGAUUCUGAUUUUGGGGUCGCCAUUGAAGAUUCAGGGUUUAGGGAGAAAGAUUGGAAAAAUUUUGUUUUUCGCAGUAUUAAAAUGUUUUUGUUGCUUCCAAUUUUGGCGCCCGGAUAUUGGCUUUGAGCGGGUAGGGCAACUCAAAUUUCUUUUUGGCGGUAACUAAUUCGCAUGAAGGGUAUAUUUGUCUUUUGGAAAAUUUGGAAUUAAAAAUGUUCACUUGUUGGAUCAUGUACCAUAUCGGCCCAAUUCAUGCUUUACCGAUAAAUAAGGGACUGAUGGGCCGGCUUGAUAGGUCCAGUAAAAGAACCGCUUGGUGAACCGGAUUUGACCGGUUUGUAUGUAAAUGAUAAGUUAACGAACUGAAGAAACUGUUUUCCUAACUGUUCGUUCAAAAAAUCAACAGCGAAAAAGUUCACCUGUAAGUACUCAUUUGAAUUCAUCAAAUUCUUCGUUUGUAAUCAAUUCUUAGAUUCUAAUUAUUUUACAGUUUGUAAUUCAUGCUUUUUGCCUUUGGUUUUGUUUGGUUUUGCUGCCUUGAUCUGCAUCUGGGUUUUGGUUCCCCCUAGUUUAUCAUUUCUGUAAUGAAUAUUAUUCAAAUUAGAUUUAGAUUGAUCGUACCUUACAAUCAAAAUUUUCUUAAGGAAAUCAAAGAUGGUUUGUUGAAGAUUAGAGAUAUUCUUGAUUUAAAUCCUUAUAAAAACUUACUAUUCAAAUUCAUAGACAGUAAUAAUAGUAAGAAUAAUCAUAGAUGCAGCUUAAUAUUGUUCAGCAUAGGUUCAUUUUGCAACAUUUGCUAUGCGAAUGGUUACCAGUAACCAUUUAAUCUCGUAGGAUGUAAAAGAUAAUACUAGUGAAAGCAGUGAAAUGGAAAUUUGGAUCUCUUUGUUUGUGAAAGCACUAUUUUGUCUCAAAUUCUAAGGGAUAUUGAAUUUUUUCUGGUGAAUUCAGAGAGAGAGGUCAAUAAUAUUUAUAAUUCAUAUUGUAGUAAAUUAUCAUGGCCGGGCUGGAGGAAUUAAAAAAGAAGCUUGCACCAUUGUUUGAUGCUGAAAAAGGUUUUUCUGCUGGAUCAACUCUUGACCCUUCGGAUUCGUAUAUGGUGAGUUUCCCUUUUGAAUGAAGGAGAUGGGUAUACAAGUUGAGUUUUUCACAUGAUAUGCUAUUGGUUAUAUGUAGCUGUCAGAUGGUGGAACUGUUAAUUUAUUAAGUAGAUCGUAUGGAGUGUACAACUUUAAUGAGCUCGGAUUGCAAAAAUGCACAUCUUGGCUUGCUGAUGAAUCGGAUCACAGCGAAAAAACUUAUCGAUGUGCUUCUCAUGAGAUGAGGAUUUUUGGAGCCAUAGGUAGUGGAGCAAGCAGCGUUGUUCAGAGAGCUGUCCACAUUCCCACUCAUAGAAUUAUUGCCUUGAAGAAGAUUAAUAUUUUUGAAAAGGUGUGCAUGUUUUCUAACUUAUUAUAUUCCUUUUUGUGUUUUGAUGGGAGGAUUUGGCUUUUUACUUUGUAUAUGCUAUUAUUUUUCAAAUGGAAGCUAAAUCAUUGGCUUAUAUAUAUCAUGUUAUUCAGGAAAAGUUUGUAGAGUAUAGAAUAUAAAUUACCAUUAGCUAGGGAUCUUACUUUUUUUUAAUUUUUGAAAAAAAAGAAGUGGAUAGUUUGAAUCAUCCUUUAGUCCAUUGAAUCAUAUCUUUGGGUGCUCAGGCCAUGAUUUUUGCUUAAAGAGAAAGUAUUUGUUGACUUUGUUUGUUAACAUGAUGAUUGCCGGUCUGUAAUUCACGAAGAUUUGUCUUCUUUGGAAAGUUAAGAACCUUGAAUUGUGUACUCAUGACCUAUAUAUACCUGGGAUGAUAAGUUGAUUUGGGUGUUGUUGAUGGGUGCAAACACCACCCAGGGCCAACUUGAUUUUAUUGAUUUGAAAAAUGAGUGCUUUGUAGACAUAAUGCAUAAUAAAAUGUUUCAUCUAGUUAGUGAAUAAACUUCCAUGAAUAUUCCAAUUUUUUAAUAGGAGAAAAGAAAUCAGCUUCUUACUGAGAUAAGGACAUUGUGCGAGGCUCCUUGUAACGAGGGUCUUGUGGAGUUCCAUGGCGCAUUUUAUAUGCCAGACUCAGGGCAAAUAAGCAUAGCUUUGGAGUACAUGGAUGGUGGAUCUUUGGCGGAUAUCUUACGAAUGCAAAAAAGUAUACCAGAACCAAUUCUUUCAUCAAUGUUUAAAAAACUUCUACAGGUAAGGACAUUCUUGUCUCUCUAUUUUGUUUUAUAUAUGUUAGAAGCUUAAAAGUUUUAUCUUAUUAUGUUGCAUAUCUUCCUACUAAGUUCACAUCGUUGGUUUAUGUGAUUCUUCAAGGGAUUAAGUUACUUACAUGGAGUCAGACAUUUAGUUCAUAGAGACAUUAAGCCAGCAAAUCUUCUUGUAAAUCUCAAAGGGCAGCCGAAAAUUACAGAUUUUGGUAUAAGUGCUGGCCUGGAGAAUUCAAUAGCAAUGGUUAGUUCUAGAAAUUAUUUGUGCUUUGAUUUUUUAUGGAAUGUCUCUAUUUGUAAUGCAUGAUAACUGGAAUUAUUGGUAUCUACUUUAGAGUUAUAAUCUAUGACAUAAUAUCGACUUAAAUAUGUUCGAAUUGUUGCUAACUUGUCUCAAAUGUCGUAUACUAGUGUGCUACUUUUGUCGGAACUGUUACAUACAUGUCACCUGAAAGAAUUCGAAAUGAGAGCUACUCUUAUCCUGCUGAUAUUUGGAGCAUUGGUCUUGCUCUUUUUGAGUGUGGCACAGGAGAAUUUCCUUAUGCAGCUAAUGAAGGACCAGUCAAUUUGAUGUUGCAGGUGAUUGUUUUCAAUUCCUAUGUUGUUUUAAUUAUAAGCAAAAUAAUAUUUAACUGAUUUGCCAUAUUUUUAAUUUGUAUUGCCGAAUGGUUUUUACCGAAGAUCUUGGAGGAUCCAUCACCAUCACCAUCAAGACAGAAAUUUUCACCAGAAUUUUGUUCAUUUGUUGAUGAUUGCCUCAAGAAGGAUGCAGAAGCUAGGCCUACAGCAGAACAGGUAAAACACUGACAAGUUAUCAACAACACAAAUACAACUUAAAACGUUUUUCUGCCAUUUUGAACCUUUCAUGGAUGUUGUAGUGGACAAGGCAAAAAUUUUCUUCAUUGUCCAUCUAUUCAUAACAGUUUUAGACUAAGUGGAUUUGGGAUUUAACCAACUUGCACGGUCAUAUCUCAUGUGCAGUAGUAUUGAUGUAUGUGUUCCAGUAGGUUGGCCAAGUGCGAACAUAUGUAACAUAAUAUCUCAUCUAUCUACACGAGAUUAAUGCUGGAGAAAAUGACGAGGAAUUUUAGUAGGGUUUGACAUUUUAAUUUAAUUCAUUUUUGUAAACUAUGUGAAUAUCAUUAUGAAUCAAUUUUAGGGGAAAAAAUAUGAAUCUUUAUUUAAAAAAAAAUUCUAAAUAAAUGUACUUAUUUUUAUGUACAUUUGGUUCUAGUGUAAAAUCUGAAAUUGUCUUGGUCUUUGAUCGAUUUGGGCUCGGCCGCUUGAGUGUUAAUUAAACAUUGAUCACCUGAAGUGUGGUAAAUAUUUUAGGUAAGUUAAAGCAAAUAUCUUUGAUCUUUUAAUUGUUGCUUAAAAAUUUCUUUUAUUUUAUAGUUCAUUUUCAUCCUUUCGUAAUUCUAUGUAGAUUUCUGUAUAAAUAUGGAAAUAUGCACUGAAUUUGUCAAAUUCUGAUGACAGAAACAAUAUAGUUGUUAAUCUCUGUGUGUAUUUUUGUUGUUGAUUGAAAGAUCUUGAAACUUUUACAUUUCGUACUUUAUGUCCUUCAAGUGGUACUGUUUCACUGCAGCUUCUUUCACACCCAUUUAUUACAAAGUAUGAGCAUGCAAAAGUGGACUUAGCAGCUUUUGUCCGAAGUGUAUUUGAUCCAAUGCAAAGGAUGAAGGAUUUGGCAGAUGUGAGUACCUAGCAUCAUGCAUAUAUGUAUGCAUAUAUUAUACCUGUAGCUCUAUUAUUACAUCUUCUAUAAGAGUACUUAAAUGGGUAAUUAUAAGUAGGUUAAUCAUAUCGAAUGGACAAGACAAGAAGUCGAGUAUAGUAAAUGUCCAUCAGUAGGAGCUUGCUUUGCUCUUAGUUCAUAUCUCCUGAGUGAGAAGCCAAAACUACUCGAACGGCGUAUUCAGUAAAGAUAUUAGAUCUGUCUGUUUUAAGUGAGGAUUGGGACGAUCAGGUCGGUUGAGGACAUUAGCACACCAAUAGAGUAUGUGCCAUUCUAGUACUCUUUGGGGAAAGGGUACAAGAAUGGCACAAGCUGAUUACGAGGACACUAUAUUUAUAUUUGAGUGAUGAUAAAGCUACAAAAUCUUGUACAAUCUCAUGUGGCAAAAAUUCAUUGGUUAGAUGAAAAUGUUGAUAAAUCAUGUAGGCCAAGAGGUAUUUAAUCCAACUAAUUGAAUUAUGCCACAUCAGUUUGUAAAAGAGUUUGUCGCAUCAUUACUCUUUAUAUUGAGUUCAGUUAAUUGGUGUCAAAUAUUAUUAGAGCUAUCGAAUUCUGUGUCAAUAAAUCUUUACUUGCGAACUUGGUAGGCAGUUCAAUCUAUCUGUAUAACUAAUGUGGCACCUAUAUGUCAAUAACUGUCAUGUCCUGUUACAUAAGCUGGUAUGUAAAAUCUCUCGUCAUGUUACAUAAGCUGGAAUCACCCCUUUUGCUUAGACAAGGGUAAAUAUAAAAUCACCUGGGGGUGAUCUAAGUACUUGGGCCCAAUUGUGAGCCAUUUGUAGAAAAUACUAUAUUACAAUUUCUUGAGCAUAUUUGAAAACUGCUUAGUCUAGCAUAAAGAUGUAUGAUCUCAUUGAAUUUCAUUUCUAGCAUAAAAAAGAUGUAUGAUUGCAUUGAAUUUAAGCUUCUCCUGUACUGCUAUUGUAAGUUGAAUAAUUCAGUGAAACACUUAAAUUACUAAGAGCCUGAACCAACAUUAGUAGUUGAUGCUAGUCAUUUAUAUAUUCAAUUACUAACAUUUUUGUUUUUGAGUGAUCAGAUGCUUGCAAUACACUAUUACUUGCUAUUUGAUGGACCAGACGAACUUUGGCAACAUUUAAAAAUUUUAUAUGAUGAAGGAUCAACUUUGAGGUAAUGUAUACCAUAUUUGUUGUUCAAUAAUUUCAUUAAAUGUGAUUCUUUUCCUAAAGUCACUGACAAAACAUUAUAAUAAACUCAAGGACAAAACAUCAUGACUUUUAUCACCUGUAACUACUAAAUUGAAUAACUAUGGUGAUUUUUUGAUGCCUUGGUUUGAAUAGAUCUUUAUUUUUGCUGAGAUAAUUUUUUUUUCCUUUUCCAGAUUCUCCGGGAAGCAUUUUGUUGGUCCAAAUGAUAUUUUUGCGACUUUAACAAAUAUUCGAAGGACAUUAGCUGGAGAUUGGCCUCCUGAAAAACUAAUACAUGUUGUGGAAAAACUUCAUUGUCGUGCCCAUGGUGAAGAUGGAAUUGCAAUUCGUGCUUCGGGAUCUUUUAUGAUCGGAAAUCAAUUCCUUAUAUGUGGAGAUGGUGUACAAGUCGAAGGCUUGCCAAAUUUUAAAGAUCUUUCGAUUGAUGUUUCUAGUAAAAGAAUGGGAACAUUUCAAGAGCAUUUUAUCGUGGAACCAGGAAAUCUCAUUGGGCGUUACUUUAUUGCUAAACAAGAACUUUAUAUUACCCAAUAGAAUGAAUGAUUAACAAAAUUGCAAUGAUUUUUUUUUUCCUUUUCAAGGCUAGUUUCUAACUUUCAGUUCUUUCUUGCGAGCAGUUUUGUAUAUUGUUGGCACCUGUGAACAUAUUGGAGUUUAAUGUUCCCAGUGCAAAUGUUGUAAACUUGUAUAAGAAAACAUUUACACAAACAUCGACUUCUGUAUGCAUGCAUGUUAUUUCACUUUAUCUGCAUGCCCGGAUAGGAGAAGUCAUGUAUGUAUAAGGAUCUUAUUUGUGUUAAUUAAAUUAGAUUUAGGGUUUAUAUGGUUAUAAACAGUGGUGUUGGCUUUCUCCUUGGUUCUUCUUGUCAUGUAUUAUCUACUAUGAGCCAGCAGAAGUGCUUGUUUGUUUGCAAGAGCGUAUGGAGAAGGAAAUGCAGUUAUCAGAAACAUCUGGUUUGACAGAUUUAUGGAGCCAGGUAAGUUUGAAAUUGCAAACGCUAUCAGUGUAUUAGAUAAUACAAGACAAGAAUUAUAGACAAGUUUCUACCAACUACAUCCAUGGAAGAGGACUCAUGAAUCUUUGGGACCGUAUUUGUAAAAAUCUUCAAGCCAGGUAAUUUAAAAGAAUUCCCUUCUCUGUUUGCUGGUCUGUUUGUUUGCUUGCUUGCAGGAAAGGCAGUGCAAUGGAUUUAUCUAAGAAGAUGUCAAUGGAUCUUCUCUUGCUCUAUGGGGUUGCACAUGAGGGUUCAUGGUUUCAACAAUGGAUAUGAAUUCUUCAGUAGAAGCUAUGGGGUGGUGAAAGGAAUCUAUGAAGAUGUGAUUGAAAUUCUCAGCUCAUUGAACUUGAUAAGGCUAUUCAAGAUCUCUGUGGUAGGAUCAGGGCAGAGAGAUGAGGCAAAUUGUCUGAUUACUAUAGACGAAAAAGUGAAAAAGAUGGACACACUAUAAUAUCUUCUCAAGUAUAUGUUAGAAAAUGUUGCUUCUGAUAUAAGGAAAACUAAUGUGGCUACGAGUGCUAUUUCUGUGGUGAAUGAUAAUGAUGAAGCCAGUGAUUCUUCGCCUUAAACCAGAAUGACAUUGCAGGGUGGUAGGUCUGUGUUGAAGGUAGUAGCCGGCAGUGCUACUUCAUCAGCCAUCUCGAGGCCUUCAACCAGAAUGACACUGCAUGCGGCGCGAAUGAUAAAGCUUCUGGUCAAAAGAAAACAAUUGUAGCUAGUGCUACGUCAUCGGCCAUCUCAACACCCUCAACUGGAAUUUGAAUUACUGGAAAUGGGAAUUUGGUGAUGAUACAGAGCCAGUGUCGAAUGCUGGGAUGACACCCUGAUGAGUGAUUUAUGGUUCCAUUGCAUUCCAUGCACCGGUAAGUUAAGAAAGCCGCAGAGUUGGCACUGGAAAAGAAUUUAAAUGCCUAAAAUUAAAAAAAAAUAAUAAUCGAAAUGUUCAGCUUUGAUAUUCUCUACUUUCUCAUUUUGUUCGUCAUUUAAUUUAUAUCCAAACGUUGAAACAAGUUCGAAGAACACCUUAAGAAAAAUAGUAAUAAAAAAAUUUAAAAGGAAAACACGUACUUUGUCAUUAAAAUUCGAGCGAAUUGCGUGGGAUAUACCCGGUUUCCCUUAAAAUACCCAAAAUAUACCUCCAUCUAUUAAAAUCGCUAACUUUACACAUACAUACUUAAAAAGAUCAGGGAAAAUACAAAAAUAACCUUAAUAAAAUGCCAACAAAACUGAACCGAUUCCCUCCCAAAAUCACAAAGUUGAGUAAACAAAAAAAGAGAGAAAACUCCUUGAAGAACAAGCUACCCCCUACCCAUUCUACACUUCAGCUAUCACCACCGCCUCAGCCGUGUCACCACCACCUUGUCUUGCCUCCGUCAUUGGUUACUAGGUAAGUAAUUUUCAUUUUCUUCUUUCUCCUACAAAUAUUCAAAGAAAUAUUUUAGGGUUUUUGCUGAAAAUAGUAAGUGAUUUAGUGAAUUCGGUAUACUUUAUGGGAUUACUGAAAAUGGAAAGAAUUAGAAGUAUAACAUGAACAAUGUAAUACAAUAUAUCAUGAAGAGACAUACAAAAACAAAUGUCAGACAUCAUAUUUUUAUUUGAUGAACUUCAGAUUUAUUUUGUUUCCUCUAUGGAUUUUGUAUUCUUAUUUUUGUUUGAGUGCAACAAUUAAGAUUUGGCAACAAUGUGAUUAAAGAGAAGUUGAUUAAAAAAUCACGUGGGCUAGUUUUCCCAAUUUUUGCUUUGCGGUUGGAGAAAGGAUGUGUUUAGUUUUGAAACAUUAUGAUCCAAUUUUAAUGGUUAUUUGAUUGUGUUCAUUGGAUCUGCCUUUUAUUGAUCAUUGUUUUGAAUUUUGUUAUAAACAUAUUGUUAUGGAAAUUUGUGAAAUCAAGGAUGUGGAGUAAGAAUCUAUAUGUGUUGUGUUCUAAAUUCUAUUAAUCACAGGAGAUAAGUACUAUAUUUGUGCAGUUAUUAAUUUUAGGGAGUAAAUACAACAAUGAUUCUGUGUUUUCAGACCAACAAAUUGUAUACUAUAUUGCAACAUAAGGUGAUUGUCGAAGAUAAUAUCAUAGAUUCAUAGAAUAAUCAUAUUGUUUUCAUCUUAUCUAUCGCGACAUAUUUCUCAUGUCGUAGAAAGGCAUAACAAUAAACACACAAAGUAACAGCUUGCAUGUUCAUAAUCAUAUUAGCUUUGAUUAUGGUGCCACUUGAUAUGAUUAAAACUAGGUUGUAGGUGUUUUGGUACUGACCCAAAUACAAACUAGUUAUUUUUCAUACUCUAGUAAAAAUUAGAGUCAGAUACCUAAAAUCAGGCUUAGAGUUCAAUUAUAAACUGAAAAAUAGUUGUUGGCAUGUUAUUAGCUUAAUAACAUUUGAAUUGUUUAGUAUCAGACUUCAUAUGAUUAGUUUAUGACCCAUUUAACCUCUAGGUAAAACUUUUUGUUUGAUCUUGUAGGUUAUGGACUAUAUACAAAAAAAAAACCAUGCCAUCUGAUGAUAAUUUAGAUAACGACGAUCAGAAGGCGGUUUUAGUAAAAGUGUCUAAUAUGUCAUCAUUAAAGGCACUUUCACUUAUAAAGCAACGUCUCACAGAGCAAUAAUAUGAAAUGUUUAAGGAAACAUGCUUUGGUCAUUUUGUGUACCUUCAAGAUCUACAAUUCGCUAGCCAAAUUGUUCAUGCAUUAUUAUUACGGUAUAUGAGAUCAACUGAUAAGGCAAUGUACUUCAAAAUAGGACAAAAAGAGUGCAGAUUUUCUAUGCUUAAGUUUGCCUUAAUUACGAGAUUGAAAUGUCAUAAAGAACAUGAUCUUCUAGUACAUGAGAAAGACAAUUGUGAUAAUAUAUGCGAUGUAUUCAUAGGGAGCAAUCAUGAAUUUACUCAAAAGCAAUUAUAGAAAGCUUUUUCAACAGCCCAAUCCAAUGAUGAUACCUUAUGGUAAAGUUUGCCAUGCUAUAUUUCUUUGAGUCUGUGUUGCUAGGAAAAGAGCCCAAGAAUAAGAUUGAUAACCUCCAUAUUUGUCUAUUAGACAACUUUAAAGAAUUUAAUAAUUAUCCAUGGGGUCGCUUGUCAUUUGAGGCAACAAUGUUAAGCUUGAAGAACACAGUUACAAAGAGAAGCAAAAGAAUUGGUUCAUUAGAUCCAAACACAAAAGAGAAAUACAAUCUUUAUGAUUUUCCAUUCGUUUCAGGUGAGAAUGCUUAUUUAUUUAUUUUUAUAAUAAAUACAUGAAUUUUAUAUGAUAUUGAUGUAGUGUUGUAAUAUUGCAGGUGUGGACAUACGAGGUCAUUUAUGAAUUUGGCCAAAAAUUUGCAACCGAAAAUGGUGAUUUAAAGGUUCCAAGAAUUCUUAAGUGGUUUUGUAAGAACAAGAUUAUGGUUGAUGUAAUUAAUAAAGCUUUGAAAGAGGAAGACACCGUAAGUGUUUCACGCUUAUUUAAGUGCGAACCAUUAACAUGAAUUUUUUAGUUUAACUUAAGUUAUUUAGUUAAAGCAUUAGUACUUUCUUGGUAUAACUUAAUUAACAUAUAUAUUAUAUAGUUUACUGUAGCGACAACAUUGCAUGCCACUGGAAGUGAUGGAAGUAAUGAGAUUGCACAACAUUACAUGCAAUGGUUCUUGGCUUCGGAAAUUGAGUGGAAGCAAGAGCUUGGCGAACUCAAUGCUGUGAGUGGUGAUGAACCUAACAAGGAACCAAAUUCUGCACAUUCAAAUGUGCAAAUGCAGCAGCAAGUUGAUGUUGUUAUGGAUGAUAGGCAUGCAACCAUCGCUGAUGAUAUUUCACACACACCAUUCUAUGCACCCUCCUCAGGAUUUUUACCUACGCCACAUAAUGCAUAUACUUUUCAUAGGACAACAUCGUUCCACGAAAAAAUAAGCAAAAAUGUAAGUUAGUUGAUUUGUUUAAAGACAUUUUGAGAUUUUUAUUUAUUAAAUUAACUUAGCAAUAUAUUUUAAAACAUGUUCGUAGGUCACUCCGCCUUGUCGUGUCUCCAUAGGCGAUCAUGUUGCUCCAACAUUUCAGAAAAUUUAUGAUAAAUCAAGCAAAAUCGAGGAAAAUGUGCAAAAGAUUGAUGUGUUGAAAGCAAAGCUUGACAACAUUACAAAAGACUUAUGGAGAACGACGAAGUUACUUGAGGAGUUUCUAGCAUCUUCUAAUGUAGGAAAAAAUAGUCUCACUGAUCAAGUUUGCAACAUUUUAAACACUUUUAGAAGCGAUUUUUUUUUACAUAUAUUUUUACAUUUACUUCAGUGGCUUAGAAAAAAUUGAAGUUAAAUUCAGUUGAUAAUAAUUACGAGAGAAUUCUAAAUUUUGUUAUAUUUAUUCAUAAUACAGCCACUUGCACAUGAUCCUCCUACCCUAGUGGCUUCCGAUGUAGUCAUAGAUAAAAUUGAUGUACACGUUUGUAAUCUUAAAUCUAGUUGAAGUUAAAUUUGAAAUACAAGUGUACAACCCAAGAGGGGGUGCAUUGGUAUUUUUAAAAAUUAUCCUAACAAAACCACACAAUAAUCCAAUCUAACGUCUUAAUAAAUUUGAAAGCAAUAAGUUCAAUAAAAGCACAAUAACAAAUGAGUAAGAGAGAAGAGAAACAAACACACGAAUUUUUACGUGGUUCGGCAAUCCCCGCCUACGUCCAUGCCUCCAAGCAAUCCAAGCUUGAGGAUUUCACUAUGCAAGCCUUCCAAGACUUCAAAUGGUUACAAUUGACUUCAAGGUGUCAAUGAAUCUUUACAAUAAAGAGAUUAUCUCCCAAUCUCUUCACUCAAGUGUCUUACACACUCAUACACUCACAAUUAAGAUGAGGAAUUGAAGAUUACAAUAAAAACUUUCUUAAAGAAUAGAUUUAUAAUUGAGCUCAAAAACUAGCCGUUAUGCACAUUUUGGUGAUAACCGGCUUACCGUUUAUGGAAUCCGGUUAGCCGAUUAUAUGUUACCGUUAAGGCAAAAUUUUGAAUUUUAUAACAUCCGGCAUGCCGCUUACAAUAUCCAGAUAGCCGUUUAUGCUUCAGAAGCUUAUUGCCCAAAAUCUGGAUAGCCGCUUAUCAUAUUCGGUUAGCCGCUUGCUACAGUAAUCGCUACAGUAAAAUAUUUUUUGAAAUUAUAGUUUAACCCCAAAACUUUAUAAAACUGUAUUAUGGUCCAAAAUGUUAUGGAAGUUUUCAAAUAGGUCCAAUUUCAGAAUUUCUAAAUAAUAUUUUGUCAAUCCAAAAACUUUCUGAAAUUAUGAUAUCAUCCAAACUAUGUGAAAUUAUAGAAUGAUCCAAAAUAUUUAAAUAUUUUCAAAUAGGUCCAAAUUCGAAAUUUUAAAACAAUAUCAAAGAUUAUAAAAUACUUUCAUUUUAGUCCAAAACACUUUAAUUCCAUAAAAUCAUUUUCUUAUUAUAAAAGCACAAUUAAUAAAUCUUUGUUUAACUAACACAUGUGGUUUGUUAUCAUCAAAAUUAAUAUUUAUAGCCAUAUAGGCUAACAAAAUUCAAUUUGUAACGAUCAUGUAAAGAAUUCUAAAUUAUGUUGUAUUUAUCUGUAAUACAACUACCUGCAUAUGAUCCUCAUAUCUCAGUGGCUUCUCAUGUAGACUAUGAUAAAAAUAGAUGAUUAGGUUGGUAAUAUAAAAUUAAGUUCGUGUUGAAUUUAGUUGCCAGCAAUUAUGUACAAAAUUCUAAAUUUGAUUGUAUUUAUCUGUAAUACAGCCACCUGCACAUGAUCAUCAAACCGCAGGGACUGCUCAUGUAGAUGCCGAUAAAAUUGAUGUUGGGGUUGGUAAAUUUAAAUUUAGUUCGUGUUGAAUUUAGUUACUAGCAAUUAUGUACAAAUUUCUAAAUUUGAUUGUAUUUAUUCGUAAUACAGCCACCUGCACAUUAUCAUCAAACUACAGGGGCUGCUCAUGUAGAUGCCGAUAAAAUUGAUGUUGAGGUUGGUAAAUUUAAAUUUAGUUCGUGUUGAAUUUAGUUACUAGCAAUUAUGUACAAAAUUCUAAAUUUGAUUGUAUUUAUUCGUAAUACAGCCACCUGCACAUGAUCAUCAAAUUACAGGGGCUGCUCAUGUAGAUGCCGAUAAAAUUGAUGUUGAGGUUGGUAAAAUUAAAUUUAGUUCGUGUUGAAAUUAGUUACUAGCAAUUAUGUACAAAAUUCUAAAUUUUGUUUUAUUUACAUGUAAUACAGCCGCUUGUACAUGGUGUAAUUAACAUUACUGAUGAAAUUUCUAGCAAAUUUCACUACAAAAAAGGAUGCAAAGAACAAGAUUGUGUUCCAUUGGAACAACAUUAUCUAAGAAAAAAGAGAAAAAAAUAAGUAUAUGUUAGCACACCUUACACUGACCCUUAUAAGAAGUCACGAAAGGAUGCAGUAACUAAAUCAAAAGGUCCAAUAAGCUUUGAUGAUUGGAUGCGUGAUGACAAUAUGGAGCCGUAAGUUUCUUUUAUUCUUUUUUUUUUGUUUUAGGGUUGAUUAUAUUUAUUCAAGUUGCUAUGUAAUAAUAUUUCUUGCUUUUUAUGGUAGUUUGACAAUAAGGUGGCCCGUCCAUGACGUAGAUAAAGACUUCUUCCGUCGAUUAUGCAAACCAAGAUCAUGGAUAUCUAGCGCAGUCAUAAUUUUUCUUAGGUACUUUAAUGAAUAUGUUAAACAAUGCAUAUAAUAAUUGUUGUUUAUUAUCUACAGCACUUGGACUAUUUUUUUUAUGCUCUACGACACAGCUUGGUCAGCUCUCCAUCUUGUAGUAUGCAACGAUGUGCCAUAAUGGACACUAUAUAUCAGGUAAGUUUGUUAAUACAUUUAUAAAACAUAUAGGAAAAUAUAAAAUAUAUAAGACACUUACACUUUUGUUUUCUGUAAUGAUAGCAAAAGUUAGAGCAUCUGUAUUCAGUUUACGUGAUCAACCCUGAAAAAGAAUGGACCAAUAAUGCUACUAAUUAUGUCGUUGAUUAUGCCAAGGGUGAAAAACUUAAAUGUGUUGUUCAUUGGAAAGAUGUUUCCAAAGUAAGUUGCUUAUAUAUCUUACUCGACUUGUUCAAAAAAUUUAGUUGACUUUUACUUAUUACUUGACCCUUAAUACUCGACUUAUUUAAUACGCUUACUCGACUUUUUACCGGACCAUAUACUCAACUAACUUAUCUCCAAUUCUUACUCGACUAAAUUCUCGAUUUACCCGACUUCAUACCCGACUUUUUCUGUCACUGAUUCUUCAAUCACUCAUAACUUAAAUGGAGUUUUAAAUCCCUACAUUCUAUGAAAUAGUGUGUGUGUGUGUGUGUGUGUGUGUGUGUGUGCAAGCACAAAAAAUGAAUAAUGUACUACUAAAAUUCAUAAAUCAUUAGCAACUACACUUAUAAUGAAAUGAAAUCAAAACCUAACCAUAUAAAUAGAAUGUAUUUCAAACAUACCUUAAUAAUGCACCUUCUUAACAGUUUAUUUUUAUCAAAAACCUUUGUAUUGGAGUUAAAUAAUGAAAUGGAGAGAUAGAAAGAAAUUGUCAAAGAGGGAAAAUGGUGAGAAGAGAAGAAAACCGUUAAAGAGGGAAAAUGUUGAGAAGAAAAAUACAUAAGAAGAGAAUGGUGCGAGAAGCCCGAAAGAGAGAAGCCAUGAGGGGAAGAAAGGUGUGGAUUCUUGGUUUUUUUAAGGUUAUUUUUUACCUUUCCUAUCUUCAUGAGGUAUAUGUAUGUAAUAGGAUAUAAAUUUAGUAUUUAAGGGAAAAUUGAGGAUAUUUAAAUAAAAAACCCUUAAAAUUCUACCCAACAUUAAUUUGCUUCUUCUUAAUUUGCUCCUCCAUAAAACCAAGAAGUAUCACUUUUAUGUGUAAUACAAUCAAAUUAAUGUAAAUAAAUAAUAUCAAUUUAGGGUUCAAGAAAAGUACCUAAAUCGUAUUUUAUUAUUUAAAAUUAUAAUUUACUUGAGGAAUAUUUUAAUAAUAAAAAAUAUUUUUUAAUAAUAAAAUUAUUGGGUUGUUUGAUGUAUUCAAAUAAUUAUACUCCUUAUAAAAAUAUAUUAAGUGAAUUUUAUGUUUCUUUUUUUAAUUUUUUUUCAAGAUAAUUAAAAUUUACAAAUUUAUGUUCUCAUAAAGCAUACGUACAUAGUUUUCAUGUUAUCGAGGCACGUGGUAAAUAUCAAUGAAGUAGUAUACUAUAAUUUUACAAGCCUCGUCAAAAGAAAUGGUCCAGUUAUGUUGCAACAGUGGUACGAUACUACUGUUGCUUUCAACCAUUAAAUCUUGUUAAUAUAACUUAUAACUAUAGAUUCAAUGACUGGUUACAACUGUGGUAUCAUAGUAUUGUUUUGCUUUGCCCCAAAAGAAAUGAGAUACAUAAAUCACACCAAAUUGGCCGAAAUUACCAAACAAACCACAUUAGCCAAAUGGACUCGCCUACGUUGGAAUAGUUGCAACGUACUAGGAUUUUUGUCUUUUUUUUACUUCAGCUCUUCACCGUCCGAUUUAAUGGAAAAGUAGCGGUAAGGAUGUGUCUAUUUGGUAAUUAACGUUACAGUCUCUAUUUUUUAAAAAAUUCAAAAACGUUAAAGAGUUACAACGUUUAAUGCAUAAGUCCGAAUUGUCUCUAAAUUGUCAAUAAUUAGACAAUUAAAAUUAGGAGAAAUUUCAUUAACAUUUUCAUUGUUAAAAAUACCAAAUAAAUAAAAAAUCAGUAAAUUUAAUUUUUGAAUAAAAUUAAAAUUAAAAUUAUUAAAAAUUAAUUCAAAAAUCAUUCCCAAUUUCUUCAUCUCAUUCAUCUCAUGUACCAUGAUCUGGAACCGAAAGUAAUUAAAAAAUAAAAAAAUAAUAAUCAUAGAAUGAAAUAAUAGAUAUCGUCAGUUCAAGUUAGAAAAAGCAUUAACCAAUUAUUCAUUUCAUUAGCCUAAGCCAUUAAUUUGGUUUACUACCUGGAGGCUGGAACUUCAACGUAAAAUAAUAAAAAAUUGUAAUUCUAGAUUAUUAAUUUAAGUUUCAAGCCAAAUUGUAGUGAAAAUUUCCAAUUACUACUAAUUUUUAUGAUGUUAUAUUAGUAUGUCAAUGUUUAAUAUUCAAAAUAGUAAGAAUAUGUUUAACAUAUUAACAUUUGCAAAAGAGUAGAAGAAUAAAAUUCAUAAUUAUGAUACUUCGAUUCUAAUCAAAUUAUAUUGAUAUGAAUUAAUUCAAUAAGCCUAUACACCCAAAUAAGCUAAAUAAUAGGAGCUAUACUAUUCCUAAGUUAUACAUUGUAGAUUAUUAUAACAAUCGUAGAUUAUUAUAACUUUGUUAAUUAACAUAACAUUCUCAAACAACUAAUUAAAACUUUUUUGCCAAUUAAAGUUGGUAGAAAAAAUCGAAUCCCAAUCGGAAUCCCAAAUCCCGUACCAAAUGGUACAUGACUUAAAAAAUAAUUAAAAUAAAUAAGAAUUUGAGAUUAAAUUUAUUCUCAUUAAAACUCAGGACUAAUCAUAACUUCAAUCGGGAUCCCGAUGGAAUCCUAAUUAUAUCAAAUUGUUUUAAUUUUCUAAUUUAAUUAAAAUGUUAAAAAAAAUUCCAAAAUUUGGCCAAAGCCCAAACUCAAUGCUUGCUUUUGUACUCCUUUAGGCUAAUUAUUAAUAGCUUAUGGUUUAUAUUUUUCGAUUCAUUAGGUUAUUUUAAUUAAAAUAAUCAUUAACCAAAUAAUUUAUUAUUAUUAUUAUAACACAAUUCCCAAACAAUGUCAAGUUGGCUCUUGUUAAUUUUAAUUUGUUGAUUAAUGAUUUGAAAAUGGAAAAAAUUGAGCAACCUAUGGAGUGGAGGGAAAGAAUGAGAGAGGAAAAUAAA